CGGGACACGUGGUAUCCUGUCUGAAUAUGGGGGGACCAUCCUCCAAGGCUAAAUACUCCUGACUGACCGAUAGUGAACCAGUACCGUGAGGGAAAGGCGAAAAGAACCCCGGCGAGGGGAGUGAAAAAGAACCUGAAACCGUGUACGUACAAGCAGUGGGAGCACAGAGCAAUCUGUGUGACUGCGUACCUUUUGUAUAAUGGGUCAGCGACUUAUAUUCUGUAGCAAGGUUAACCGAAUAGGGGAGCCGAAGGGAAACCGAGUCUUAACUGGGCGUUAAGUUGCAGGGUAUAGACCCGAAACCCGGUGAUCUAGCCAUGGGCAGGUUGAAGGUUGGGUAACACUAACUGGAGGACCGAACCGACUAAUGUUGAAAAAUUAGCGGAUGACUUGUGGCUGGGGGUGAAAGGCCAAUCAAACCGGGAGAUAGCUGGUUCUCCCCGAAAGCUAUUUAGGUAGCGCCUCGUGAAUUCAUC
rnacentral:rRNA from 1 species